UACGUAGGGCGCACGCGUUGUCCGGAAUUAUUGGGCGUAAAGAGCUCGUAGGCGGUUCGUCGCGUCGGCUGUGAAAACCCGGAGCUCAACUCCGGGCCUGCAGUCGAUACGGGCGGACUUGAGUGUUGCAGGGGAGACUGGAAUUCCUGGUGUAGCGGUGAAAUGCGCAGAUAUCAGGAGGAACACCGGUGGCGAAGGCGGGUCUCUGGGCAACUACUGACGCUGAGGAGCGAAAGCGUGGGGAGCGAACAGG
rnacentral:rRNA from 1 species